ACGUAGGGAGCAAGCGUUGUUCGGAUUUACUGGGCGUAAAGGGCGCGUAGGCGGCGCGGUAAGUCACUUGUGAAAUCUCUGAGCUUAACUCAGAACGGCCAAGUGAUACUGCAGUGCUAGAGUGCAGAAGGGGCAAUCGGAAUUCUUGGUGUAGCGGUGAAAUGCGCAGAUAUCAGGAGGAACACCGGUGGCGAAGGCGGGUCUCUGGGCAGUAACUGACGCUGAGGAGCGAAAGCGUGGGGAGCGAACAGGA
rnacentral:rRNA from 1 species